AGACCUCAAAAAGAACAUUCCAUCAAGGGAUCAGGUUCUAUCAUCUCACUGGAAUGCAAUUUAAGACAUCAUCUCCAGAAAACUGUGCUAGUUGGCAUCCAGCAGUGCCCAAGUAUUAUUUAACCCACUAGAACCUGUGACUGCAUCAGCUUUAUAUCCUGGACCUCAGCCUGGAACAAAGGAGAGCUACACUUGGAUACUAAACACAAGUGGUCUGGAUAGAUUAUGCUGGGAAAAGAAGCCUGGAGCAGGCAGUACAGUGGGAGAACAAGAAAAUUAUGCAAGACAUCUCACAGAACAGAAUCAGACUUGCAGCCCAUGAUAAAACAGAAGACUGUCUGUAACAUCAAAGAAAUACAGAAGAUUUUAUGGCUUGCUGUUUGUUUACCUAUAAGGGAAAUGCCCGAAUGCCUAAAGUAUAUAUUACAUGUAGUUUGGCUGCACUUGAGGAAAAACUUGGAUUUCUAACUUUUAUCAAACAAAGAACGCAUUGUCCCUGGUCCAUAUUGAUUGGUGAAACACAGAAAUUUUCCAUUUA
ensembl:lncRNA LINC01013 long intergenic non-protein coding RNA 1013